rnacentral:rRNA from 1 species
GAUGAACGCUAGCUACAGGCUUAACACAUGCAAGUCGAGGGGAAACGAUAGAGAAAGCUUGCUUUUUCUAGGCGUCGACCGGCGCAAGGGUGAGUAACGCGUAUCCAACCUGCCCAUCACUUGGGGAUAACCUUGGGAAAGUAAGACUAAUACACACUGACGUCCAUAGAAGAAAUCUGAAAAGGAUUAAAGAUUUAUCGGUGAUGGAUGGGGAUGCGUCUGAUUAGUUUUUCGGCGGGGUAACGGCCAACCAAGGCGACGAUCAGUAGGGGUUCUGAGAGGAAGGUCCCCCACAUUGGAACUGAGACACGGUCCAAACUCCUACGGGAGGCAGCAGUGAGGAAUAUUGGUCAAUGGACGAGAGUCUGAACCAGCCAAGUAGCGUGCAGGAUGACGGCCCUAUGGGUUGUAAACUGCUUUUAUAAGGGAAUAAAGUGGGAGUCGUGACUCCUUUUGCAUGUACCUUAUGAAUAAGGACCGGCUAAUUCCGUGCCAGCCGCCGCCGUAA